GGGUGUCGGGUCGGCUGCCAAGAGUUUUGGUCUUGGCUCCGACUCGGGAGUUAGCCAAACAAGUGGAGAAAGAAAUUAAGGAGUCGGCGUCUUAUUUGAACACGGUUUGCGUUUAUGGAGGGGUUUCUUAUAAUUUGCAGCGAAAUGCUCUUUCCCGUGGGGUUGAUGUAGUGGUCGGAACUCCUGGUCGAAUCAUUGAUCUGAUCGAAAGUAAAGACCUCAGAUUGGGGGAAGUUGAAUAUCUGGUCCUUGAUGAAGCUGAUCAGAUGCUUGCUGUUGGAUUUGAG
rnacentral:lncRNA from 1 species